UGGGGAAUAUUGCACAAUGGAGGGAACUCUGAUGCAGCGACGCCGCGUGAACGAAGAAGGCUUUCGAGUCGUAAAGUUCUUUUAUAUGGGAAGAUAAUGACGGUACCAUAAGAAAAAGCCCCGGCUAACUACGUGCCAGCAGCCGCGGUAAUACGUAGGGGGCUAGCGUUGUCCGGAAUCACUGGGCGUAAAGGGUUCGCAGGCGGAAAUGCAAGUCAGGUGUAAAAGGCAGUAGCUUAACUACUGUAAGCAUUUGAAACUGCAUAUCUUGAGAAGGGUAGAGGUAAGUGGAAUUUUUAGUGUAGCGGUGAAAUGCGUAGAUAUUAAAAAGAAUACCGGUGGCGAAGGCGGCUUACUGGGCUCAUUCUGACGCUGAGGAACGAAAGCGUGGGUAGCAAACAGG
rnacentral:rRNA from 1 species